rnacentral:rRNA from 1 species
AAACUCGUUGAGACAAAGAAGUACAAUACCUUUCCUCUAGUAUUCCUUUUGGUAAAGCUAGCAUUAAUCUUGCCGGUGGCGACGGCAACAGUUGAGAGAGCAUUUUUCGCGAUGAAAUAUAUCAAGUCUGAUUUGCGCAAUAGAAUAGGUGAUAAUUUCUUGUACCAUUGUCUCAUAACUUAUGUUAAAACCGAUGUAUUCCAGUCUAUUAGUACUGAUGCUAUUGUGCAUACAUAUCAAUGUUUGUAUCGUCGCAAAGUACUACUGCCAUAG